rnacentral:rRNA from 1 species
GCCCAGCCGUAAACUUUUAAUUACAUCUUAACCACCAGGGAACUACGAGCCAAGCUUAAAACCCAAAGGACUUGACGGUACCCCACAUCCCCCUAGAGGAGCCUGUCCUUUAAUCGAUAAUCCACGUUUAACCUCACCAUUUUUAGUUAAUCAGCCUGUAUACCUCCGUCGUCAGCUUACCGCGUGAGCGUAACUAGUAAGCCUAAUGUGUUCCACCAAGACGUCAGGUCAAGGUGCAGUAAAUGAAAUGGAAAGAGAUGGGCUACACUUUCUACUUUAGAAAAAACGAAAGACUACCUAUGAAAUCUAGUUAGAAGGCGGAUUUAGUAGUAAAAAGGAAUCAGCAUGUCCAUUUUAACCCGGCACUGGGGUGUGU